rnacentral:rRNA from 1 species
UGGGGAAUAUUGGACAAUGGGGGCAACCCUGAUCCAGCAAUGCCGCGUGAGUGAAGAAGGCCUUAGGGUUGUAAAACUCUUUCACCCGUGAAGAUGAUGACGGUAGCGGGAGAAGAAGCCCCGGCUAACUCCGUGCCAGCAGCCGCGGUAAUACGGAGGGGGCUAGCGUUGUUCGGAAUUACUGGGCGUAAAGCGCACGUAGGCGGCGUAUCAAGUCAGAGGUGAAAGGCCUGGGCUCAACCUGGGAACGGCCUUUGAGACUGGUAUGCUUGAGUUCGGGAGAGGGUAGUGGAAUUCCCAGUGUAGAGGUGAAAUUCGUAGAUAUUGGGAAGAACACCGGUGGCGAAGGCGGCUACCUGGCCCGAGACUGACGCUGAGGUGCGAAAGCGUGGGGAGCGAACAGGAUUAGAUACCCCCGUAGUCC